GGCAUUUGGUGAACCUUGGUCUUAGCAAUGCAGAUUAAACAGGCCAAAGGGUGCUUCCAGACCUUCACUGGAGCUUCCGGAGUGGCGAGUUUGUCUUUUCUUUCUAUGCAGGCUUCUCGGCAUUCUUAGAGGAGCUAGGAUCCCAUUCUCUUCCUUCUGUGGAAGCUGAGAGCUUUUCUAGGGAUUCUAUUAUUUCACUUCUCAGCUCAUCCUCGGAUUCUUCAAACUUUCUGGAAUAACAAGCAGUCAGAGCCAAUGUUACAACCUAAAAGCACAAAGAGAAAAACUAGUCUCCUUUUUCGUGUCUGCUUCCGCCCAGCCGUUAAUGCUGGGCUUCCAGCAGAUAACGUUUUCUGUCAGUUUGGCCUGGGAAGGGAGGUGUCUGUGACUGACUGUGUGCAGGUGCGAUUGCCUAUAGCCAUUCAUGCAGCAGCCGGAGGAGGAUAUGGGGUGUCCGGCUCUACCAAUCUACAUCCUUCCUUCAAGACAGCGUCUCUCAUUAAACUUAGAACUAGCUAAGCCAACCCUCCUAACUGUCUCUACUCACAACCUGGGUCGCAGGCAGACAAAGUCAUGCCUGUUUCAGGUGGGUGAUGAGAUCCAAACUUGGGUCCUAUUAGAAAAAACAAA
rnacentral:lncRNA from 1 species